UUGAAUAAACCUGGUAGGUUGUCGCUGGUCCUUUGGGGCAUGUGCACGCCCGCCAUCUUUAUCCAUCCACCUGUGCAUCAUUUGUAGUCUUGAGGGGUUAUCGGUUGUGGUCUAGGCCACAACCAUUCUCUCGGGUCUAUGUCUUUUCAUACACCACAGUAUGUUGUAGAAUGUACUUGAUAGGCCUCAGUGCCUGUAAAACCCCAAUA
rnacentral:misc_RNA from 1 species